UCAACAUGUUGAGAUACGAUUAAACCUU
rnacentral:sRNA from 1 species